rnacentral:rRNA from 1 species
AUGGCCUCCCCCUCAGAUGCUAACUCGGCUACGAGCGGAGGUGCUUCGGCGGCCGCUAACGCCGCCCUGGAAGAAUUCUUCGAUCAACUGGAUCUGAACGACGAGGAGUUCAAUGAUGUUGAGAUUGAUGAAGAGGAUCCCGAAAUCAAAGAGACUGUACGGUGGAUAGCCCUAGCUAGGGUUCACACCGACAAGAAUUUCUCGCCGGCAGCUUUCUAAAAGGACAUGAGGGCGGCCUGGAAUCCGGCGCAGCGGGUAAGAUUUCGCCCGGUCGGACCUAACAGAUUCGUUGUCCAAGCUUCUUGCCUGGGCAACUGGGAGAGGAUGAUGAUGCAAGGCCCUUGGCUCUUCCGCAACAUGGUGGUUUUGAUGUGUCCGUACGAUGGUUUCACCAAGGCGGGUGAUGUAGUUUUUGAUCAUAUGCCCAUCUAG